GUUAAACGCUGGCGGCAUGCCUUACACAUGCAAGUCGAACGGCAGCACGGGGGCAACCCUGGUGGCGAGUGGCGGACGGGUGAGUAACACAUCGGAACGUGCCCUGGAGUGGGGGAUAACGCAGCGAAAGCUACGCUAAUACCGCAUAUUCUGUGAGCAGGAAAGCAGGGGGAUCGCAAGACCUUGCGCUUUGGGAGCGGCCGAUGUCGGAUUAGCUAGUUGGUGGGGUAAAGGGCUUACCAAGGCGACGAUCCGUAGCGGGUCUGAGAGGAUGAUCCGCCACACUGGGACUGAGACACGGCCCAGACUCCUACGGGAGGCAGCAGUGGGGAAUUUUGGACAAUGGGCGGAAGCCUGAUCCAGCCAUGCCGCGUGAGUGAA
rnacentral:rRNA from 1 species